rnacentral:snoRNA from 1 species
CCGACGUGAUGAUUAAAGAAAACGGCGAUGCUUUUACUUGUGCCCCUUUUAGCUAUCUAAAAGGGGCUACAUGAAGCGAAAUGAGCGUCAAAAGCGAGUAGUUUUCAAUCUGACAAAA